GUACGGGAGGCAGCAGUGGGGAAUUUUGGACAAUGGGCGAAAGCCUGAUCCAGCCAUGCCGCGUGAGUGAAGAAGGCCUUCGGGUUGUAAAGCUCUUUCGGACAGAAAGAAAUCGCAUGGAUUAAUACUCUGUGCGGAUGACGGUACUGUAAGAAGAAGCACCGGCUAACUACGUGCCAGCAGCCGCGGUAAUACGUAGGGUGCGAGCGUUAAUCGGAAUUACUGGGCGUAAAGGGUGCGCAGGCGGUUAUAUAAGACAGAUGUGAAAUCCCCGGGCUCAACCUGGGAACUGCGUUUGUGACUGUAUGACUAGAGUACGGUAGAGAGGGGUGGAAUUCCUGGUGUAGCAGUGAAAUGCGUAGAUAUCAGGAGGAACAUCGAUGGCGAAGGCAGCCCCUUGGACCUGUACUGACGCUCAUGCACGAAAGCGUGGGGAGCAAACAGGAUUAGAUACCCCGGUAGC
rnacentral:rRNA from 1 species